GAUGAACGCUGGCGGCGUGGAUAAGGCAUGCAAGUCAAACGGUAAGGCCCUUCGGGGUACACGAGUGGCGAACGGGUGAGUAACACGUGGGUGAUCUGCCCUGCACUUCGGGAUAAGCCUGGGAAACUGGGUCUAAUACCGGAUAGAACCACUGCCUGCAUGGGUGGUGGUGGAAAGCUUUUGCGGUGUGGGAUGGGCCCGCGGCCUAUCAGCUUGUUGGUGGGGUGAUGGCCUACCAAGGCGACGACGGGUAGCCGGCCUGAGAGGGUGACCGGCCACACUGGGACUGAGAUACGGCCCAGACUCCUACGGGAGGCAGCAGUGGGGAAUAUUGCACAAUGGGCGCAAGCCUGAUGCAGCGACGCCGCGUGAGGGAUGACGGCCUUCGGGUUGUAAACCUCUUUCAGCACCGACGAAGCGCAAGUGACGGUAGGUGCAGAAGAAGGACCGGCCAACUACGUGCCAGCCGCCGCAGUAA
rnacentral:rRNA from 1 species